rnacentral:rRNA from 2 species
UGUGCAAAAGGAGCAUAAUCAUUAGUCUUUUAAUUUGGGACUGGAAUGAAUGGUUUAACUAAAUAAUCAUGUCUCAUUAUUAUAUUUCAAAUUUUAUAUUUUAGUAAAAAAGCUAAAAUUUAUAUUAAAGACAAGAAGACCCUAUUAAGCUUUAUAAUUAUAAUUUAAUAUCAAUAUAAAUUAAAAAUUAUUUUACUGGGGCAGUAAAUAAAUUAAAUUUUAUUUUAAUAAUGUGAAUACAAUUCUUAAAAAAUCAAGAAAUUUUUAAAAAGAAAUAAGUUACUAUAGGGAUAACAGCAUUAUUUUCUUAAAGAGUUCUUAUCAUCAAGAAAGUUUGGACCNCGANG